rnacentral:lncRNA from 1 species
AUGGACGAGGAGGGAGGGUCUCUACUGGAAUGGCCGUGUCCCAGCAGCGCCUGCAGUUUGCCACGGACCCCUUUUACUGCUAUGAGCCCCCGUUUGGCAUCGGGAAGGAUUUGCUCUACACCCCCCUGCCUGCAUCGGGCCUCGGGGGGGGGGAGCCAGGCCCCUCCUCCAGGAAAAGGAAUCCAGUGCAGAACUUCCCAUUGGUUGGCAAAUGUGAACUGCUGCUGCAUUGAAACGGUCCAAGAAGAGUCACCACCAUUUAAGUGCCAAGAAAAGGCCUUCCACUCUCUGGUACAAGAAGAAUUCGAACAGAAUCAUGCACUGAACCUGGAGCGAAGUCAAGCACGGAGCCUCCUCCCAGCUCAUCCAGCAACACGUUCACAAAAGGCCCUGUUAUUAUCCCCACAUCCACACUCUCUAACCCUGUAAUUAGAUGCUUAGGCUAUGAUUGCCCCAUUGUCCGCUGGAUGGGUUUAAUCAUUCUUUCCUCCUACAGUGGCAAUUUUGUCCCAAUUAAUUAUUUCAGUUUGAACAGCAAUAGCUGGUUGAGUUUAGAGAGAAAUUAAAAGGGUAGAGGAGAAUAAUGAAGAGCGAGGUAACAAGGGAAAGGCUGCAGACAGGGCUGCUGCUCCAAGGGCCAGAGCAUGGAGCACCUCCUUGCCUGUGCAUGGCAGCAGAGCUGUGUGUUCAUCCUCAGGCCCAGCAGAAGGUGCUCCUUCACAGCGGUGGUGGCUCCAAGGUGAGUGGCAAUGCAGGCAGAGCAAAGUGAUGAGGGCAGUGCCACAGAUUAGGGUCAGCCUGUGGCUAUUGGAGGCAGUUCCCAGAGGGGACAGUUCUGCUGAGACAGACCCCUGAGGUCUGGGCUGUGCUCCCUGCCCACCCAUCCUGCACCCAAACCCUCCCAUUCACUCUUGGCCCCACGCUGUGACAGAGCCCUGCAGCUCCCCAGCGCUGCAGCGUGUGUUUUGGUGGCUCUCAGCAGGAUACGUGCAGUUCUCCAGUUGAUUUGGAAUGCAAUUGAAUUGGGUUAAAAUAAAAAUAAUAAGAAACGUUAAGGUUAUAUAAGG